GCGGCCGCAGCUCGGGCUUUCACUCUCUCUCGCCUCACCGACCUGUCAUUCAAGCCCCGCCUCCGCCUCCCGUUUCCCGCCACCACCUCCUCGCCCGCCCAUUACUCCCCUCAUUCCGCGCCCAACGGCGUCGUUUGGCCUGCUCGACUUCCACAAUCCGAUGCCUCAUCUCCGGCGUCGACGGCGGCGGCGGCGUGUCCGACGAGUUCGUCUCGACGCGGAAGUCCGGCUUCGACCGCGGAUUCUCCGUUAUCGCC
rnacentral:lncRNA from 1 species